rnacentral:lncRNA from 1 species
CUCUGAUUGGCACUCUGUUUAAUUGUGCAAACUGUUUGCUCUUAAAUCAAACUUAAUUGGAUCUUUCUGUGAGUUAUAGAUCUUAGCUGUAGUCCUUGAGAAGGCUGAUGGCAGGGACCAUCAGAAAAGGGUGAAAUUCAUAUGGUGGAAUGAGUUUUUGCCUUGUUCCCAAGACAAUUUAGUCCAUCAGCAGGACAGCCUUGCACACAGGUUCAGCUUGUAUAUGGGCACAUGGCAUGGGGGGGAGGGGAGGAGGUCUUGCACAAGGUGUGCAAUAGCUACAUUCUAGUCCUGCUGGCUUGAAACGCAAAAGCAACACCAAGGAGGGUCUGUGCAGCACCAUUGUUUGGGGUAUGGCUUUAGUGCCUUUUUUGGCAGUCUUUCUUACCUAGCAGUUGCCUCUCUCAGUAGUUUUCUUGCUCAUUACUUAGUGACAGUUUUGCCUCCCUGGGAGCAGAUGAUGAUUGUUUAAAGCAACACAGAGGGAACUAAAAUUAGGUUACAUAGUCCAUGGGUUACAGCUGAUGUCUAAAGCCAAGGUUAGGGGGCAAGCAUAACCCUAAUGAUCUGGUUGCUGCCAUAGGGGUAGAAGACAGCCUGGAGCGAUGACUGUAGCAUUCAGGUGGUGUUCAGCAGAGCUGCAGUCCUCAGCACUGGCUGAUUACACCUGAGAGGCCACCAAAACUCCUCUGAAAGUGUUUAUUCAUCCAGUAAUUGCAUCUGGGCCUCACCUGGAGAAGCUCAGCCCCAGACUUCUGGUAGGAUGCAGCUGGGACAGUUUACUUCUGAGGUAUAGUUCUGUCUUGGGAAAGCUUUUAAGCACUAGGAAAUCCAGCAUUCUGGCUGGUAAAAGGGGAUGGAGGUGUGUGGGAAAUUGUACCAGCAUUGGGUAGGGUGUGGCAUGGCAGGUCCUCGUAUGCACAGGAGAUAUGACAGUGCUCUGGGAAAAUGUAAGUGAAAGGCGGCACUUGGUGGUCCUAGAUGGGUUACUGAAAUUGGAGCACACAGAACAACCCAGUCCUUCCUGGGCAUUGGAUAUGGAUGCUGAAUGGAGAAAGCUUCAGAUGCAAGUUUCUGAGCAGUCAGGAUCCAACCUGGCUGGUAACUCAUCAGCUGUGUAGCUGUAUAUAGGAAAUAACUCUCUUGUGUUCAACAGGCAGAAUAAAAGGGUGGAAAAUGGGUUAAAUCA